rnacentral:lncRNA from 1 species
UAUGGUUGAUCUACUUCAGACUAUCAAAACAGUCCACCAAAGGACAAAUUUGAGAAUUAUUUGAUUUUUAGGGGCAUUUUGGUCAUUCCCCCUCACCCAAAAUCCAUCUAAAUCCUAUAUUAAAGCCUAUUAGAAUUAUUAUAUGUUAUAUUUCAUCAAAUUCCCUCAAAAAGAAAACCCUAAGCUCCUACAUCCAACUUCAAGAACCUCCA